rnacentral:rRNA from 1 species
UUACCUGCUCAAUGAAUAAUUAAAUAGCCGCAGUAUUUUGACUGUGCAAAGGUAGCAUGAUCAUUAGUUUCUUAAUUGGGAACUUGUAUGAAAGGUUGGAUGAGAAAUAUUCUGUCUCAAAUUUAAUUUUAUAGAAUUUUAUUUUUAAGUAAAAAAGCUUAAAUGAGUUUUAGGGACGAGAAGACCCUAUAGAGUUUUAUUUUAAAUUUAAUUUUUAAUGUUAAGGAAUUUAUAGUUUUAUAUUGAUUUAAAAUUUAAUUGGGGUGAUUAAAAAAUUAAAUUAACUUUUUUUUAAUUUAAACAUUAAUUUAUGAAUUAUUGAUCCAUUAUUUAUGAUUAAAAGAUUAAAUUACCUUAGGGAUAACAGCGUAAUUUUUUUAAAGAGUUCUUAUCGAUAAAAAAGUUUGCGACCUCGAUGUUGGAUUAAAAUUUAUUAUUGGCGUAGAUGUUAAUUAAUUAAGUCUGUUCGACUUUUAAAAUUUUACAUGAUCUGAGUUUAAACCGGUGUGAGCCAGGUUGGUUUCUAUCUUAAAUAAUAAAGUGUAUUUUAGUACGAAAGGACCAAAUACUAGUAAAAUUUACUUUUUAUUGAAUUAAAUUAUUACUUUGGCAGAUUAGUGCAAUAAAUUUAGAAUUUAUUUAUGUAUUUAAAUACAAGUAAUACUUGAUUUUAAAGGAUUAUUUAUUAUUAUUUAUUAGAGGUUUAAUUUUGGUUAUUUGUGUAUUAGUAGGGGUA